CAUCCAAAAUACAUGUGAAAAGAUUAAAAAAAUAUAUACUGUUUUCUCCAAGCUUCUUGAAUUUGAAGGCUACUAUAUGACAGCGAUCAGCAAAUGAUUAAGGUUUUAGAGCAGACCUUCAAGUCCAAAUUCAAAGCGGUUAUUUUCUGCCCAGCCUCCUCAAGCUUUGCUAUCUUGACCUUAAUUUCCUUGUCCUGCUGUUUUAAAACUCAAGGAAAGUUGUAAAGGUUUGUAAAUAAUGUAUCAGCAAAAUAAGCAAAAGCAUUGUUGGAAAAGUAAUCCCUAAAAAAAUUUCAAAUAUCUAAAAUAUCCUCUUGUCUUUUCUGUUGAAUUCAAGUUUUACAGUUACAAUCCUCUAAAUUCUAAGGCCAAGCCCAAGUAUUAUCCUAUCUUUAGGACAAGUGUCUGUCGUUCUCUGGCUUCUUCUCUCUUUCAUCUUCUGUAGUUUUACAGGACAUUAGUUGUGUGUAUUUAAAAGCAGAUGGUCUAUGUUAUGUAGUGU